UACGGAGGGUGCAAGCGUUAUCCGGAUUCACUGGGUUUAAAGGGUGCGUAGGUGGGUUGGUAAGUCAGUGGUGAAAUCCCCGAGCUUAACUUGGGAACUGCCAUUGAUACUAUCAGUCUUGAAUACCGUGGAGGUCAGUGGAAUAUGUCAUGUAGCGGUGAAAUGCUUAGAUAUGACAUAGAACACCAAUUGCGAAGGCAGCUGGCUACACGAAUAUUGACACUGAGGCACGAAAGCGUGGGGAUCAAACAGG
rnacentral:rRNA from 1 species